AGGUGCUCACAUUAUUUUGGUGUGAGUGAAGAGGGAACGGAGUGCGAUUCUCCGACAAGACCGUUGCUGUGAGGCGGAGCGGAAGGCUGCAUACCAUUGGCGUUGAGAGGGCUUUUCAAUGCUGAGAAGGUGCCGGAUGCUGUGAGGCCGAGUCAGAAGACCUGCCUGUGAAGAU
rnacentral:ncRNA from 1 species